rnacentral:rRNA from 1 species
CCUACAUGAAGCUGGAGUUGCUAGUAAUCGCGAAUCAGCAUGUCGCGGUGAAUACGUUCCCGGGCCUUGUACACACCGCCCGUCACACCAUGAGAGUUGGCAAUACCCAACGUACGUGAUCUAACCUGCAAGGGAGGAAGCGUCCUAAGGUAGGGUCAGCGAUUGGGGUGAAGUCGUAACAAGGUACC